UCCAUGCAGUGACUGUCUGGGUGCUC
rnacentral:piRNA from 1 species